rnacentral:misc_RNA from 1 species
UACGAAGGUCCCGAGCGUUACUCGGAAUCACUGGGCAUAAAGCGCGCGUAGGCGGCCUUGUAAGUCAGGUGUGAAAGCCCGCGGCUCAACCGCGGAACUGCGCCUGAUACUGCAUGGCUCGAGGCCGGUAGGGGAGAGUGGAAUUCCUGGUGGAGCGGUGAAAUGCGUUGAUAUCAGGAGGAACGCCGGUGGCGAAAGCGGCUCUCUGGUCCGGUUCUGACGCUGAGGUGCGAAAGCCAGGGGAGCAAACGGG